AGAGUUUGAUCAUGGCUCAGGAUGAACGUUGGCGGUGUGCCUAAUACAUGCAAGUCGAACGGAGUUAAUAGCAAUAUUGACUUAGUGGCGAACGGGUGAGUAACGCGUUGGUGAUCUGCCUUGAAGUGUGGAAUAACGCUCCGAAAGGAGCGCUAAUACCGCAUGUGCUCUCAAUUUUUAGAAACUUGAGAGGAAAGGAUUUAUUCGCUUCGAGAGGAGCCUGCGUCCCAUCAGCUGGUUGGUAGGGUAAAGGCCUACCAAGGCAAUGACGGGUAGGGGACCUGAGAGGGUGGCCCCCCACAAUGGAACUGAAACACGGUCCAUACACCUACGGGUGGCAGCAGUAGGGAAUAUUAGAAAUGGACGAAAGUCUGAUCUAGCAACACCGCGUGUGCGAAGAAGGCCUUCGGGUCGUAAAGCACUUUUUGGAAGGAAUAGGAAGGAAUGUACUUCCAGAAUAAGUCUCGGCUAACUACGUGCCAGCAGCCGCGGUAACACGUAGGAGGCAAACGUUAUCCGGAUUUACUGGGCGUAAAGCGCGUGUAGGUGGUUCUGUAAGUAGGGCGUGAAAGCUCCCGGCUCAACUGGGAGAUGCCGUUCUAAACUGCAGAGCUAGAGGAUGGUAGAGGGAGGUGGAAUUCCAGGUGUGGCGGUGGAAUGCGCAGAUAUCUGGAGGAACACCAGUGGCGAAGGCGGCCUCCUGGACCAUUCCUGACACUCAGACGCGAAAGCUAGGGUAGCAAACGGGAUUAGAGACCCCGGUAGUCCUAGCCCUAAACGAUGUAGACUAGGCGUCGGUGGUUUAAUCACCAUCGGUGUCCAAGCAAACGCGAUAAGUCUACCGCCUGGGGGACUACGGCCGCCAAGGUUAAAACUCGAAAUGAAUUGACGG
rnacentral:rRNA from 1 species